UGGCUCAGUGGUUAAGAGCAUUGGAUGCUCUUCCAAAAGUCCUGAGUUCAAUUCCCAG
rnacentral:tRNA from 1 species